UUUUCCAGUUCUAUUAAUUGCCAGGAUUGGCUUGUAAGAGAAUAAGGUGUGCAAUGAAGUCUUAUAAGUUAUCAGAACUUAGUCAUGCUGAGGUAGAAAGCUUGAAGGCUCGUCCUCGGAUAGAUUUUUCUUCCAUAUUCGGUGUGAUCCAACCAAUAGUUGAAGAUGUCCGCAGUAGAGGCAAUGCCGCAGUUA